AUACGGAGGAUGCGAGCGUUAUCCGGAUCUAUUGGGUUUAAAGGGUGCGUAGGCGGAUGAUUAAGCGUGAGGUGAAAUGCCACUGCUCAACAGUGGAACUGCCUCGCGAACUGGUUGUCUUGAAUGCUCCUGCCGUGGGAGGAAUGUGUGGUGUAGCGGUGAAAUGCGUAGAGAUUGGGAGGAACACCAGUGGCGAAGGCGACUUACUGGACUGUAACUGACGCUGAGGCGCGAAAGUGUGGGGAGCAAACAGGAUUAGAUACCCUGGUAGUCCACACUGUAAACGAUGAAUGCUAGGUGUAGGGGGUAUCGACCCCUUCUGUGCCGCAGUCAACACAAUAAGCAUUCCGCCUGGGGAGUACGGCCGCAAGGUUGAAACUCAAAUGAAUUGACGGGG
rnacentral:rRNA from 1 species